GACGAACGCUGGCGGCGUGCUUAACACAUGCAAGUCGAACGGAAAGGCCCUGCUUUUGUGGGGUGCUCGAGUGGCGAACGGGUGAGUAACACGUGAGUAACCUGCCCUUGACUUUGGGAUAACUUCAGGAAACUGGGGCUAAUACCGGAUAGGAGCUCCUGCUGCAUGGUGGGGGUUGGAAAGUUUCGGCGGUUGGGGAUGGACUCGCGGCUCAUCAGAUUGUUGGUGGGGUAGUGGCUUACCAAGGCUUUGACGGGUAGCAGGGCUGAGAGGGUAACCGGCUACACCGGACUUGAGAUACGGCCCGGACCCCUACGGGAGGGAGCAGUGGGGAAUAUUGCACAAUGGGAUGAAGCCUGACCUAGUAACGCAGCGUGGGGGAUGACGUCAUGCGGUUUGUAUUCUGCAUCUGUUUGUCACGAAGCGUGAGUGACGGUAAUGGGUAAAGAAGCACCGGCUAACUACGUG
rnacentral:rRNA from 1 species